GGCUCGAUAGCGGAGGGUCCGCACCUGCACUCAAUUCGGGGAUUCUUGAAGACCGUCUUCAGCAGGAGCGCCGGUUCGACUCCGGCUCGAGUCA